rnacentral:rRNA from 1 species
UACAGAGGGGGCGAGCGUUAUUCGGAAUUAUUGGGCGUAAAGGGCGCGUAGGCGGCCAUUCAAGUGACGGGUGAAAGCCCCCGGCUUAACUGGGGAGGGUCAUUCGAUACUGCUCGGCUCGAAGACAGGAGAGGGAAGUGGAAUUCCCGGUGUAGUGGUGAAAUGCGUAGAUAUCGGGAGGAACACCAGUGGCGAAGGCGACUUUCUGGCCUGUUCUUGACGCUGAGGCGCGAAAGCUAGGGGAGCAAACGGG